ACGGAAGGCAGCAGUGGGGAAUAUUGCACAAUGGGGGAAACCCUGAUGCAGCGACGCCGCGUGGGUGAAGAAGUAUUUCGGUAUGUAAAGCUCUAUCAGCAGGGAAGAUAAUGACGGUACCUGACUAAGAAGCCCCGGCUAACUACGUGCCAGCAGCCGCGGUAAUACGUAGGGGGCAAGCGUUAUCCGGAUUUACUGGGUGUAAAGGGAGCGUAGGUGGUUUGGCAAGUCAGAAGUGAAAGCCAGGGGCUCAACCCCUGGAUUGCUUUUGAAACUGUCAGACUAGAGUACUGGAGAGGUAAGCGGAAUUCCUAGUGUAGCGGUGAAAUGCGUAGAUAUUAGGAGGAACACCAGUGGCGAAGGCGGCUUACUGGACAGCAACUGACACUGAGGCUCGAAAGCGUGGGGAGCAAACAGGAUUAGAUACCCUGGUA
rnacentral:rRNA from 1 species